GGAGGGACGCGCUGACACUCACUGCAACGCGGAUGGACCUUGAAAGCACAAUGCUCAGCGAGAGAAGCCAGACGUGAAAGACCACAUAGCGUGUGCAUCCCUUGAUGGGAAAGGUCCAGAACAGGCAGACCUACAGAGACAGAGAGCGGGAAUGAAGCCCUGACGCACUCCACAACAAGGAUGAACCCAGAAAACAUGAUGCUUAGCAAGAGGAGUCAGACACAAAAGGCAGCGAACUUUAUCAGUGGUGGGAGAAGCACGAGGAGAGAAGAGGAGGAAGACAGAGGCUCUCUUUUUCUUUUUUCUUUUUUCACACUAGUUCGAUUUUUUCUACAGUGAAAAGAUAUGACUCCCGUAAUGGAAAAGAGGAAGUAAACAGACUUCUGGGCACUGCCCAUAAGGAUUCCAAAGCCCCCAGAUGAUCCCUAGGGAAUUCUGGGAUUAAACUGCCCAGUGGCCCAGAGUGGACACCUGUUUGCAAAGUGCAAUUGUGAUCACUUUAGAAAAUGGCAAACAUUUGUGGCCGGGGGACCUGUGCUACUCACACUUGUGAGUGACCUCAAACCGUGAGGCUAGGAAGUACUAGACUUGGUCAAGAGCUCCAACAGUGGCCGCCUCUUAAAAAGAGUAGGGAUGACCUAAAGGAGGUGCCUGUCCUCAUUUUAACACUUUUACCCACACUACCCAAUACUUCGUUGCCAGCCACACGCGGCUAUGAGCUCUUGAAAUGUGGCCGAUCCGAACCGAGACGCGCCACGGAUGUAAACUGCACACUGGAUUUCAGAGACUUAGCAUGCCAAGAAGGACGUGAACUAUCUCAAUAUAAAUUGUUUCAUAUGGAUGCCGUGUUAAAAAAUAACAAUAACUUGGAGAUACUGGACUAAAUA